AGCGAACGCUGGCGGCAGGCCUAACACAUGCAAGUCGAGCGCCGUAGCAAUACGGAGCGGCAGACGGGAGAGUAACACGUGGGAACGUGCCCUUCAGUUCGGAACAACCCAGGGAAACUUGGGCUAAUACCGGAUACGUCCGUAAGGAGAAAGAUUUAUCGCUGAAGGAUCGGCCCGCGUCUGAUUAGCUAGUUGGUGAGGUAACGGCUCACCAAGGCGACGAUCAGUAGCUGGUCUGAGAGGAUGAACAGCCUCACUGGGACUGAGACACGGCCCAGACUCCUACGGGAGGCAACAGUGGGGAAUAUUGGACAAUGGGCGCAAGUCUGAUCCAGCCAUGCCGCGUGGAUGAUGAAGGCCCUAGGGUUGUAAAGUCCUUUCGACGGGGAAGAUAAUGACGGUACCCGCAGAAGAAGCCCCGGCUAACUUCGUGCCAGCCGCCGCCGUAA
rnacentral:rRNA from 1 species